rnacentral:lncRNA from 1 species
GGAAGCUGAAAGAUAACUUGUCCACCACACUGCGAUUUUUCAACAACCUCUAUCUUUCUCUCUCUCUCUCUCUCUCUCUCUCUCUCUCUCUCUCUUCCAUUAUUUGCGUUCCUAAAACCACUUCUACACUAAUCCCAUACCUUGUUCUUAUUGUUUUCAAUCUAGGUGGGAUGGAAAUCAGAUAAUUCAAGAAAGAAAAAAAGCAAAGGACCGGUCCUGGAAGGUUUCUUUUUUCUUUUCCUCUGUAAAUUUCCUUCGAUUUCUCAGUAACCAAACAGAGGUAUUAGUCUUCUCUGUCUCAAAGUAAUCUUGACAGGCCGUUGAUUCUCAGGGAUGAGGUUGCACAACAGCAAUGUCUAUGACGGGCCCAUAAAGGUAUUGAUCACCCAAAACUUGAUCAUAAGUUCAUAACCAUAGGUAGACAUAGACAAGCUAGCCAAAAAAAAUUAUUGCAUAUUUCUUGAUUGGUAGCGUUAAUUUUGAAUUGAAUUUAUAAUUAGCUAGUUUCUUCUUUAGGGUACUUCAGAAUCAGCAGAGUGGAUAUUUUUAGUCACUAGCCUUGGCCUAGAGAUGUUGUCAGCUGCUUUUGAUCAGGCUUCCUCCCCGACAAAACCCCACUAUGCCCUAUUUGGUGUGCUGUUGGAUACUGCAGCUUUACUUAUUUCCAUCUGGGAGCUAAUUUAUAAUGGUUGAAAGGAAAGAGUUGUGCUAAGGAGAUGGGGAAGGCUCUGGUGGUUUUAUUAUCCACCUCCUCGGAACGCAUUUUUCGGUACUCUUCCUGACAUUUAUGGACUAGUUGGCGGCAUCUCGCAGUGCAUUUGCUCUGUAGUUCAGUACAUGUACUACCUUCGGCAUGCCGAUAAUCCUAUCAAAGUAUCCAUUUUGCCUGCCAUAUUUCUUAUGUGCUUAGGUGGUUCAAAACUAAAUAGGAAUCAGCGGAACAUGAACACUAUCGAACAUAACAUGUUUAGGAAAAGGCAACUCUUGCACAGCGAGUCUAUCUAAAUAUGUGGUGAGCAAAUCCAACCAGGAAACUAGAGUUUCUUUUAGACAGGGGAAGCAAAUAUUGCAUCGACACAUUUUGAGAUAAAAUCUCACACCUGGACGAGUUCAUGUGUGUUAUGAACAAAUGAAAUACUGAGAAUUAAAAUGGGAUCCUGUGAAUGACAAUUUUCUAGCUAGGUAAAUCCAUGCGAAUUAUCUUUGAUAUAAUGCAGAGUUAAGGAGGUUGUUCCUCAUGAGUGUCUGGAUCUUCCACAUUGGAUGGAGGCAAAACCUGGUUUGGAUCAUCAACCAUGGUCGGUUUUGAUCAUCAACCAUGGUAUUCUUACUUUAAAAUGUUUACAACUCAAAGAUGUACAUGUCUUUUCCAGAUAGUCACUAGCAAAGGUGCCCGUGCGCAAUGCUGCGGGUAUUAAAACCGUAUAAUAUAUGUAAAAAGUUGAAAAAAUGGAUAGG